rnacentral:tRNA from 1 species
CAAGUAGACAUAGUUUAUAAAAAACGUUAGCCUGUGAACCUAACGAAAAGAGCCGGAACUCUCUUUGUCCACC